rnacentral:misc_RNA from 1 species
GGGUAUAUAUUUUUGUUGAAUUGAUUUUUGUUAUGUAGUUUUAUUUUCUGUAUUAGGGCUAACCUGUAAUUGGACUAUUGUUUCUAUAAUAUAACUCUUGUAUAAAUAAGCAAAAGUGCAACCUACAAAGUGAUACAUGAAUUUUUCCAUACUUUCCCUACUUCAUUUCUCUGAUUCCUCUGUUCACAACACUUCACAAAAUAUAAACAUCACUUUCAAUAUAAAAGUUUUGUAAAUUUAUUUUUAAAAAAGUUAAGUAAUUUUGCGUUUUAAAUAAACAGUGGAAACCACCUAAAUUAUUACAAUUGCCAGUUUGCCACCACAUGAUAAAUUAAGAAAACCAUUAGAUAACCAUCAGAAUAACCUAUAUCAAUUCCUCCAUUAAACUACGAAUAAAAAUCCACCCAUCUAAAAUAAAAUAAAAUAAAUUACUCUACAAAAAAGCCUUUUGUUUUCUACAACCUUUUUCUUUUAUCAGAACCAAGGUUCAUGGUUCGCAUACAAAGAUCAAUUGGCCUGCUGCCAAGACACUCAUCCGAGCAUAACCUUUAGGACCUUCAAGCAGAGAGCCCAGAACCAUAUGCCAGCGUUUAAUUCCUCCAAUAUAGUGUUCCUUGCUCAGCGAGUUACAAGCCAACCUGGUUUUAAUAGUACAUCUCGCUUAAAGUUCCGGCCUGUGACAGAAGUGGACUCACCUUGACGACGGAAACACUUGUAACAGACAAUGGUAUCGUCUGGGUACAUAGCAAAGAGUUUUGUACCAAGGCGUGCAUGACAAGAGUCGCAGAGGCUCUCAUCAUUAAUCUGCACAUGCCGUGAUCUUUCCUCCAAUCUUGCAAGUCUUGCAUCAACAUCUAUAGCACGAGACAGAUUAUGUACAAUUUGUCCUUGACAAUGAUGAUGAAGCCGAGCCCUCAACAUUCGUAAUAUUGUAUCAGAUGCAAGUUGAAGGGGCAUAUCUGGGGACAAUGUCUGCAACACAAAACUUUAUUUCUCGAGUAUUGGGGGGAAAACCAAUAUAAUAAAGUAAUAAUUAACAUAAAUUUUCCGAGCAGAACAAAGUGUUUCUUUGAAUUACAUAAUGAAAUGUUAGCAUCUAUAACUUUUGGGAGGAAUAACAAGGAUCCAACCAUGGUCUACUCCAUUAUUUGCUGCAACUGAAUGGGCAGUCAAGACAUAUUUUCCUUGACAUACACAGAAUUCUGAGUGAUAGAAAUUUGAUAUGUUAAGCUAAGGCCUUGCAGACUUGGCAAGUGUGUCUUGAUUGUCAUCAUCAUCAUUUUUGUGUGAGUUUUUUUUCUCAUACAAUGGAUUUGGAAACCAGUGGGCCUGGAACAGGGAAUGACUCUAUUACCAACAUCAGGUUUGGGGUCUGGUUGAUUCCCAAACCUGGCUUAUAUACAGCAAUUAUACCAGUGAAACAGCAAAUUAAGGGUUGAUCAUUAUUUUACAUAAACACAUUUUGGCAGAUGUGAUGAUUUCUACAUUCAACAGUAAGCAAAUCUCAUAAAUUGUUUUAAUAUUCACUAAAAAAUUGUCCGAUGAACUUGCUUGAAUUCCUUGAUUGGCCAGAUAUAAACAAGCAAUGCUGUAUGCUUUUUAGAAAAUCAGGUCAUAAUUUGGAAAAAGUUUAUAUGCAAACUAUGCUAGGCAAUGUGCCUCAUUCACAGUAAUCAUUUACCUCCAAAACUUGCAAGGGAUCCAGCGAUUCUCCAUGAUUAUGCAGAAGGCGAACAGCAGCCUUAAACAUAGGCUCUUUACCAUUUUGUGGAUCCAAAUACAUAUCAAGUAACUGCAUAUAUGCAUCUGGUCUGCCUAUCUCCGCACAAUAUUGUUCAGCAGCUUCACUGUCCUCCAGCUUCAGGGCCAAAAUUUGAAGCACCAAUGUCUCUUGCCCUAACUUUCUGUAUAGAAUAGCCUUUUCGAGCCAUAACUCUGAUCCUUCAAUCAAGUCAAGGACCUCUUCUGGAUCAUAUAAGUCUGAUGAUAGUAAAAAUAUCUGCAACCUUUCACGUACAGGACUCUGAAAGAUCGACUUCAUACCGAAAUCAGAAAAUUUUGCCCCCUCUAACCUUUCAUCAUCAGGGUUUUUGGAGAUACUUUCCACUUCGAAAGCUUCUAUUGCUGACUUUGCAAGUGAGAGAGCAUAUAAUGUGUGGAAUUGGGUGUCAAUAGAGUCCUGAUCUUCAAUCAGCCACUGGAGAUACCUUUGAAGGAUUUCAACCUUUUUUGGAUCGAUGGCAGCAAUCACUUCAUCUGACAAUAGCUGCUUCACUCUUUUCUUAGAAGUCAAAACUUCAACUGCUAGAACUGGAUUAACAUCUGCAAUCCAUCCAAGAUGCUGCAAAACCAAUUCUUGAUCAGACAACUCCUCUAGAAUUUUUGAUGCCUCAAUUGCAGCAAUCUCUCUACCAGAAACAAUAUUUUUACUGCCAUCCUGCAAGUCAGUCUCCACAACAGGGUCUUCCCAUAGACCAGAAGAAUAAUUUCUUGCCAGAAUGCGCCAUAUGGCAAGAGCCUUUGAGCUCAUCCCUUUACUUGCAUAUAAGAAGGCAAGAGUCCGUAAAUGCCCAGAGUCAUCUAAUAGAGUUUCUAACUCCUCCUGCACCGCCCAUGGAAGUUGUACAGUCAUCCUUCAAGCAAGCUCCUGACAACAGCCACUCACAAUACAACUGUUUUCUGAAGAAGCAAGCUGCUCCAUAUCAUCAACCCGAUUUAAAGCUCUAUAAAGAUACAUUAAAAGUGUGUCAACUCCUUCCUGCACAGACAAAGUCAACUCUUUCUCACGAGAAACUUCCAGAUAUCUGAUAAUGUUCUUGAUUGCUGACUCAAGUAAAUUAGAUCUAGUAGGUGGAUUCAAUAUAAAAUCAUCAUCUACUGCUGUAUCUACACCUGCUUUCCUAAGGAAAAUAGCUCUUUGGAUAGCCAUCAAUCCAUCAUCUACAACAUCUUCAAGAGGUGCAGGGGGGGGAUGCAAGCCCCAAUACCGGCUCCUAGGAACCAGCAAUGACCAGCGAUUUGGAUCUCGCAUUAUAAAUGGAAAUACUUCAGAUGGCUGCAUUGUCUCUGACUGGAGAAAGUGAUUUACUGCUUCCUCAAAAUGCAAGUCAAAAAGCAAGAGGAAACCCACUUGAGCAUGAACAAAGGAUAGCAUUUCGUUGGACAUUUCACCUUCAUACUCAAGCUCCUCCACCAAGGAGAUGGCUUCCUUGAAGUUUUUCUUUCUCAAAAGAUCCUUGAUUUGUUCUUCAGAAGAUACUUUGCAGUAGAAGGUAACCUUGGUGGGUGUAGCAACAGCAACAAGUUUUCCAAUCCCAACUUCCUCAUUGGCAACAACACAUGGCCCAACUCCUUCCCCACCAAAAGUAACUGUCUGAAUACAACUACCUGAUCUCUUAUUAUACAGCUCCAUCUUCCCAUUCCUAACAAGCACUACAUAAGGAGAUAAUUCCCCAAUUGAAUCUGGACUGCUACGGAAAACCAAGCUCCCUCCAACUGGCUGGCCAUGCUCAUUAACAACAAUUCCAACAUUGUCUACCAACAUUAACACCUUCCUCUCUUUCCAUAACAAUUUAAGCUGCGGUGGGCUAGAUAUAUCUGGUAAUGAAAAUAUCACACCGCUCAGCCCCGUAACACAGGAAAACAAACUAUAUCCAUGGACGGUACCCACAAUUAUGGAAUCAUUAAGCCACACGAUAGUUUUCACCCCAUCAAUACAAUGUAUCUCUUUCAAAAUUACAAAAGACCCAUUUGAACUAUCAAUGUCUCGGUCAGUCUUACCUAUCCUAUUAUUGCUGAAAACAAGCUCUACAAGUAUUAAUCUUUUGCCAAUUACAACAGCAAAAACAUUGUUACCUUCACUCUGUUGCACAGGUUCUUUAGUUUUUACUCCAUUAGCUCUAAUCCCACCUCCCAACUUCUGCAAAAUCCGCUGACUGGCACUUGAAGACUCCAAAUUAUUACCAGAAAUACCCAAUAAAUUAGUGCUCUCCAAUUCACUGCUUCGAAUCCUCUUUGCAAUUGCACAAACUCCCUUGGAAAAACUCAAUUUCUUAACAGACUGAGACAAAAGAGUAUCAACCAAAAACAUGUAACCAUCACAGAGAACAAGAACCUUCCCAAUCUCAGGAAGCACAUGCAGCGUUUCUAUGGGUGAAUCCCCGAAAGAAACGCUUCUCAAAAAGGAAACAUUUCUUUUAGAAGCAUCGAAAUCGAGAGCAGACUGCACGUCUUUGGGUGCAGAAGCAGUAGCAGUAGCGGUAGCGGUGGCAUCAUCCCCAGUGCUAAUGGAGAGUAGAAGAAGAGAUCCAGAGAAGGUGCCAAUGUAGAUUAGGGAUUGUGCAUCGGAAAUUGAAGAGACGGCAAGAGAUCGGAGUGAAGUGACAGAAUAGGAGGAGAGGUCAAUGUUAGAGAGAGGUUCUAGGACGGUUCGAGCAGAGGGAUCGGGCUUGGCCAUCGAAUUGUGAAGAGAUUGUUAGGUGGGUAUUUGCAGAGGAUUAUGACUUGGUUGAGAAAGCCAUGAAAUUGAAGAAGAAAGAAGACUAGGAUGCUUCAACUCCGAUUACUGUUAGGUUUUGAAAUCAGAAAAUUCUGGCAUAGGCUUUGC